CCUCUGCUCAAUGAUUUUUUAAAUUGCUGUGGUAAUCUGACCAUACAAAGGUAGUGAAAUAUGGUUUUAAAUGGGCGCUAAGUGAAUGGACAAAUGGGGAGAGGCUUUUUUAAAGAAAAAAUUAGAAUUUAAUUUAAAAGUUAAAAAGCUUUUAUAUAAAAAUGGGACAAGAAGACCCUACGAAUCUUUAAUUGUAUAUUUUAUAGAGUGUAAUGGGUAUAUAAUUUUAGUUGGGGAAACUAAAAAAUAAUAAGAAACUUUAUUAUGAAAGUUUAUAUUAAAACUAUGGGAAAGAUACUCUAGGGAUAACAGCGUUAUUACUUUGGAGAGUACGUAUUGAUAAAGUAGUUUGCGACCUCGAUGUUGAAUUAACGAACCUUCUAGUUGGAGAAGACUAGGAAGGCAGA
rnacentral:rRNA from 1 species